UAUGCAAUUGGUGAAAAGGCAGAUCAGUACAUCCAUAAACACCAUUGAGGGGGGUCAUCCCCAUCCCUGCUGUGCAGCCGACACCAGAGUGCCCAUGCACCCGAGGUGUGAUGUCACGGCCCGUGUUCCAUCUGCAGCGCUGGUGCCCAGCAACGACCACAACACAGCAACCCCCUCCAGAAGCAACCACAGCCUGUCUGCUCUCCCCUUCUUUCUUCUCGCCUGCCCUGCUAACAGUCCAGCCCUUGUCUCCCAUUCCUUCAGCCACUCAACCCAGCCCUUUGCACCUACACCCUUGCACCUCAGUCCCCUCUUUCUUCUCCUGCUGUGUUUUGUACAAGGAGACUGCAAGCACUAGAGGCUGGAGCCAGGGCAGCCCAGCCCUGCCAGGGGAGCAGCCCAGAGACAGAAAACCACGAGCACAGGAUCUGCAAGAACAAAUUUGCUGCAGAAGAUGCCAAAGUGCAUGAAGCGCAGGAUCAGCUGCCUACAGGAUACACUACGCUGUGCACAGCGCUGCAUUAUUAAAAGGAAGAUACAGAAGAUGGAGGUAGAUUUGAAAGAGGAGGAGUAUAUGGAAGUGGACGAGGAGGUGGUGAUCGAGGAAGAAAUGGAAGUAGAUGGAGAGAUCGAUGAAGAAAUGGAGGUGGAUGAAGAAAUAGUAGAAGAAAUGGAAGUGGACGGAUAGGCGAUAGGUUUAUGAUGGGCUUGGUGGGGUAGAGUGUAGGAGUUUUAUAGUUCGUUACAUUUAGUGUGUUGAUUAUAUUUAGUUUGCAGUAUUUCGGGGUUUUUUUCUGUAUAUCGUUUGUAUUUAGUUUUUUUUUUCUGUAAAUAGUUUGUUGCAGUUCGGAGUUUAUUUCUGUAAAGAUGUUUACUGUUGUUUUUUCCUGUAAAUUUAUUUAUUCAUGUUUUUUCAGACCUGAGCUCUCUGUCAUUUUCUGGUAUUUGCCGAGUUGUGUUUUCCGCACUCUCUGGGUUCCUGGGGCUGGAGGUGGCUGGGGGGGCUGGGACGGCUGCCCCAGGGA